CAUGGCUCAGGAUGAACGCUAGCUACAGGCUUAACACAUGCAAGUCGCGGGGCAGCAUGUUGGUUGCUUGCAACCGAUGAUGGCGACCGGCGCACGGGUGAGUAACGCGUAUCCAACCUACCUAUUACCACGGGAUAACCCGGCGAAAGUCGGACUAAUACCGUAUGUGGUCUUCAAUUGGCAUCAGCAGUAGACUAAAGGUUUGGCGGUAAUAGAUGGGGAUGCGUCCGAUUAGUUAGUUGGCGGGGUAACGGCCCACCAAGACGUCGAUCGGUAGGGGUUCUGAGAGGAAGGUCCCCCACACUGGAACUGAGACACGGUCCAGACUCCUACGG
rnacentral:rRNA from 1 species